AGUAUAUUCACUUGUGACCAGCAUUGUCAACUAUUUUUUUACUUUUCUUCUUUUAAUUUCGUCGGACAUACGAAAGGAUAUAAUUUAGUCCUCGUAAUUCUAUUCUUUUAAUGGCUAAUAUUAUAAUACACCCUGAGAAAACAAAUGAUUAAUUGCCAAGAGGUGCUAACAUGUGGAUUCAAAAUAGGUGGUGGAAUCGAUCAAGACCCAAAUAUAGCACCCUACAAUUAUUGUGACAAAGUUAUUCAAAGAACAUUGUUUAAUACUUUAAUUUGAAAUAUAAUAAUUAUUAAUAUUUUGAUAAUUUUUUCUUUCCUUUGAAUCUAUGAUUAACAGAAAGAGCACUGGCUGCACACCGAACUUUCCUGAUUUUAUAAACUGUUUAGGAGAUAAUUUUUUUCAAAAUCACUAUUAUAAAAAAUUAAUGAUGAUUAAAGUAAACUUUUUUAUUGUUCCCAAAGUUUUUAAUUCAAGCCUGUUUGCCCCAAAAUUUUAUAUACUUUUGGGCCUGAGACUUCCCAAUUGGAAUUUUUAAUUUAGGCCCAAACAUGUCUCAAUUUUUAACACUUUUAUGAAUAAAAUAAAAAUCACUAACUCUUUUAUCAAUCCCAUGGAAAUUUCAAUUAUCGUUUUAACAAAAAAAGUAAAAACAUUAUUAUUUUUAUUUUUCAGGAUUUUUUUUAAGCCAUAACCUGGCCUAAUUUUCAAUAUAUUUUAUCUUGGCCAUGUUUAAAUUUUUUCUGAAAAUUUAUACCUGAGCAUGGACUAAUUAUUUGUUAAUUUUUUCAAUAUGGGCCAGCCCAAUGUGCAUGACUCCAUUAUCUAUGAAUUUAAUGAUAUUUUAAAAACAUCAAAUUUAAUUUAUUGUUUUUUUUAUAUUUUACUAUUAAUAUUAGGGUUACAUUGAUCCACAAUUUUUUCACUAAACUGAUCCAAUAUUUGCCAAUAUUUAUUUCAAACAGUAUCGAUACCAAUAUUUACAUUAAUUUUUUUGUCAUUAUUUUUAAUAAUAUAAGAUAAUAGAAUUAGCAAAAUCUAGGCCUUUAAGCGAAUAUUGUUCUCAAUGAAAAAUUUUGAGGAGGAGGAUGAGUGGAAGAGACGUGAGAUUUUGGGAAGAUAUAAACACUUUUUUAAUAAGUAAAAAAGCUGGUGCUAUGGAAUGUGGUUGAUGAACUUUUGCAUCUCAGAAAAAGUUUUAUUGAUAAUUUUUUCGGAUAUAUUAUUAUUAAGUAAUGGGGAGCCCAAUAGUUGGAUAUCUUCUUUUUCGAUAAUAAUGUAUUCUUUAAAUAAAUCUAAGGGGAUCUCGGGGUUGAGGAAGCAAGUUUUAGUUUCAUCUAAUUUCAAACCUUUCGAGGUAGUUAAAGGCUUCGCUUAUUUGAUGUGGAUUACAGCAAAGAGUGCCAUCAUCAAGGUACCAUAGGUUUAGGUCGUGAUCAAAAUCAAAUUUAAGAUCUUUCAUCAUAUUAUGGAUUGCUAAGCAGAAAAGAAUAGGGCCAAGGGGUUGUCCUGUUCUACUCCCUCUUCAGAUAUAACGCUACCAUUAAAGAUGAGGGGAGUGCUAUUGUUAUAGCAGAUGUCUAUGAAGCGGGAGUAUUGGGGGAAAUUAUCGAAAAAAGAUUCGAGUGCCGAAGAACGUCAAAUUGUAUUGAAAGCAUUCUUAAAAUCGAUUUUACAUAAAACGGAGUUUAUUGGUGGAUGUUGGAGGUAGAUUCGUAGGUAGUGAGAGCCUAUAUCUAGGCCUCCUUUUGUUCCGCAACCUAAUUGGUAUUUGCCAAGCAGGGAAUGAGUAUCGGAUUUUAUUUUUUUUGCUAUAAUUUUAGCUAUCAGGUGUCUGAAAAAUGAAUCGAUUGCGAUUGGGCGGAUGCCACCAUUAAUUUUUUCAAAAGCUAUCUAGUUAGCUCCAAACAUAAUUUGAUGAGCUAAUGUGGGAAUAUCUUUCAGUUAUAUUAAUAAGGAAGGUGGUAAGUGAGUUAAAAAAAUUAUUGGAAUUAUGAGAUUUUAAAAAUGUUUGGAAGUAAGAAGGUCUAUAGCCACCCGGGCCUGUUGCUGAAAAUUUAUUAAAUUCACUUAUUGUAUCGCGAAUAUCUUGGAUGAAUGGGGGGGAUAUUGAUUAGUGGGUUUGGUAAGCCAGUAUAAGAGGCACGUGGAUGAAGAGAUUUUAGGUUGUUAAGGGUCUCGUUGUUAGAUGGGGCGAGUUUUUUUUGUGAAGAGAUUAAUUUUUAUGCACCACAUAUGUCACCUUCAUUUAUCUUUUUGGAAAUUUUGUUGCAGGUAUUAAUGAAAAUUUCAUUAGAAUUAUUGGGAUUUUUAACAUAUUCUAAUAGUGUUAAAUUUCCCAAAUUUUUGAGUCUGCCUUUUAUUAGGUUAGGUAGUGAGAUAGAUUUGUUAUCUUUUGGGAUUGAGAGGCAUUUAAAAGGGAAUGUGAGGAGAUUAUUCCAAUGAUUUAAAUUUGACAAAUCUUUGUUAAUAUUAUCAAAUAAUUUAGUAAGAUGGUCAUUGAUUUGGUAAUUAACACUAGAUGGGAUUUUUAUUGUUGGUAUUGUUUUAAUAAAGAUAAAUAUUUCUAGUGAUUUGUUAUUUACUUGUAUGUGCUUUUGGGAUUAUACUUAUUGAACCAGAAAACGAAUUAUACUCAAACCAAAGAUAAAAAUUAUACUCAAACCGAAAGAAACAAAAUCUUUUAUUUUUCAAACACUAAAAUCUAACAAUGAAAUAAUAAUAAUAAAAUAUAUCCAAUACAUAAAAAAAAUCAAUAUUAUUUUCUUAAAAUUAAUAACAAUAAUAAUAAUAAUGUACAUAUACCUAGAACACCCCUUAUAUUUAAGAGGCGUUCUCAGGUUACUAAAUAUAUAUAUAAAAAAAUUAUUACAUUUCAUAUUAUAUAAAGCUCGUUUUUAUUCUUAACUUCAGUUAUACCCAUUUCUGCAAAUUCUUGUUAUACUUCCUCAGCUACAUUCAUCUUAGUAGAAAAACUGUCGGGUCUUUUCCUUUGCAAUAUUGGUUUCUUCAUAAGCGUCUUACGCACUCCAAAAUUUUUCCGAUUAUUCAAAACAUGUUUCAGGAAUACUUGCUUAGGCUCCAGGAUUACGUUAGAACGAUCCAAACGAUCCAGAAUUGUGUUAGAAUGAGCAAAAUUCGAAUCAUUGAAAACUUUAUUUUGAUUAUUAUCAUUAUUGUUGAUAACAUAGGUAUUGCUGGGACAGUUAGCUGCUUUGUGUCCUUUUGUUCCACAUGCAAAACAAGUUAAACGGAAUAUAGGUCUGUUGAACAAUUGCUGAACAUUCAUCCUAGAUCUAUGAAAGGAUGGUUGCACAUUUAUCGUUGGUUGGUUUGGUGGCUGACCAUUUCUCACAAGUUCCUCCUUCCUAUUUGCCAGUUCAGUCCAUGCACAGGCUAAAGCAAUUGCAAAGGAAAAGACCCGACAGUUUUUCUACUAAGAUGAAUGUAGCUGAGGAAGUACAACAAGAAUUUGCAGAAAUGGGUAUAACUGAAGUUAAUGAAUAAAAACGAGCAUUGUAUAUUAUGAAAUGUAAUAUUUUUUUUAUAUAUAUUUAGUAACCUGAGAACGCCUCUUAAAAAUAAGGGAGGUGUUCUAGGUAUAUGUACAUUAUUAUUAUUGUUAUUAAUUUUAAAUAAUAUUGAUUUUUUUAUGUAUUGGAUAUAUUUUAUUAUUAUUGAUUCAUUGUUAGAUUUUAUUUUUUUCGGUUUGAGUAUAAUUUUUGUCUUUGGUUUGAGUAUAAUUCGUUUUCUGGUUUGAUAAGUAUAAUCCCAAAAGUGGUGCAUUGAUUGGGGGUUCUAUUUAGUUUUAUGCAAAGUGUAUUAGAACCUGAGCAAGGGAGUGCUGGAGUGCCAUGUUUGUAUAGAUGGUCAUCUUUUUUUAUAAAGUUUGUGACAGGUUGGGCAGAUUCCUUUCAUGCUAAUGAUGAGAAGAUGGUUUAAUACCUGAGAAGUUUGUUACUAUGAGUCUAAGAGUGAAUUCACAGUAGAGAGCGACAGCGACACGACAAAAUACAAAUAUAUGUAAUUACCAAUGACUAUUCAUAGUGAGCUUUUGCGACACGACAAUCCCGCCACAUUUGUCGCAUUAAACUUAAAAAUCAAGUUACAAAUCAUUUUGUUUUUUUCCAUACGACAUUAACUACAAUAUGGCCGAAAUACAAAAUUUGCAAGAUAUAAAUAAAGAAGAGUUGAUCAACUCUGUUAGAUUUUACCCUUGUCUUUAUGACAAAAGAUCAAUUGGGUAUAAAAAUACCCAGAAAAAUAAUUCCAUAUGGAAAUCCAUAGCAGCAGAAAAUAGUAUUGAGACAGUAGAGAUAGCUAAAUCUACAUGGAAGAAUCUAAGAGAUUCUUUUUUGAGGGAACAUAAAAAGUUGAAAUGUUUAAAAAGUGGGUCAGGGGCUGAUCACAGUCCCACCUGGAAAUUUUAUAAUAAUUUAACUUUUUUGAUUCCCACUAUAGAAUCUGGGAAACAAUACACCAACCUGAAAAAAAUAAAACUUCUUAUACCUAAUAUUGGUGAAGCAAAAUGAGUGGAAAUUUCCAAUAUGAAGAUGCUGUUGAAAUUGAAUGUGUAGAGACUAGUCAGAGUCAAUCUACAGAUGUUAGGAAUGAUGCAUCACCAUCAACUAGUGAAUCUUAUGUACCUGGCAAAAAGUUAAUUAAAAAGAGAGAUAUUGAUCAAGAUUUAUUUGUUCAAGUUCUUGAAAUUGAAAGAAUAAAAGAAAGUAGAAAAUCAACAAAUUCUUGGACCAAUGUGAUGCUUGAGCAGACCCUGGCAAAAAGAUCAGAAAGGGGAAAGAAGAAGCUUAUUAAAAUUAUUUUUGAUAUUCUCUUCAACUUUGACACUGAUGAAGAAGAAUGAAAAAUAUUAUAUAUUGUUAUUAUUUCAUUGGAGGCUUUUAUAUUAUUUUAAUU